UACGUAGGGGGCAAGCGUUAUCCGGAUUUACUGGGUGUAAAGGGAGCGUAGACGGUGCGCCAAGUCUGGAGUGAAAUGCCGCAGCUUAACUGCGGAACUGCUUUGGAAACUGGCGCGCUCGAGUGCGGGAGGGGUAAGCGGAAUUCCUAGUGUAGCGGUGAAAUGCGUAGAUAUUAGGAGGAACACCGGUGGCGAAGGCGGCUUACUGGACCGUAACUGACGUUGAGGCUCGAAAGCGUGGGGAGCAAACA
rnacentral:rRNA from 1 species